rnacentral:lncRNA from 1 species
GGCUAUGUACUUGUUGUCAAUCAACUGUUGUACUUUGGCUUUGAAAGCAUUACAGUCUUCAGUUGAAUGCCCUUCUGAUCCGGCAUGAUAUCCACAUUGCACAUUUGGCUCAUACCCAGGUGGGUAAGGUUGUGGAACCGACUUGAGAGACUUGGGAAACACCAAUGAUUUUUGAAUCAGAGGCUGCAGAACUUGACUAUAUGUCAUGGGGAUUGGAUGACGAGGAGAAUU